GAAUCCCGUCAUGCUUUUCCACAGCUUUCUUGAACUUAGUGCCGUGGGGAUUGGUGUGGGAACAAGCCUUGAAUCAGAAACGGGGUGUAAUCCUGCCUAAUCUACGUGCAAAGCUCAAGAAAGCUGUGGGAAAAGAUGGCAGGGUUC
rnacentral:pre_miRNA from 1 species